rnacentral:lncRNA from 1 species
AUGGGUGCCACACACAAAUGCGAACCUGGGCAGGCCAGUCCCUUUGUUUGCUUUCUUAUCUCUACCUUAAGGACAGCCAAGAGACUAAACUGGGUUGGGAAAGCCUCCAGUUCUCCUUACGGGAAGCUUCCUCAGGCCUGGCUGAGGAUCAGGAGUCACUCUGUACAGUGCUUUUCCUUUGGUCUUUUCUGGGCAGAGGUGAGAAGGGCCCCACCCAAGCUCCGGGAAUCAGCUCCCUCCUGGGGGUGUGGGGUGUGUGUGUGUGUGUGUGUGUGUGUGUGUGUGUGUGUGUGUGUGUGUGUGUGUUCGUGUUCUUUGGGACAGGGAGGUGUGUGUGUGUGUGUGUGUGUGUGUGUGUGUGUGUGUGUGUUCGUGUUCUUUGGGACAGGGAGGUGGUUCCUUUCAUCCAGCCACCACCAGGAAACUCAGAUUUUGUAUCUGGGAGGGAUCACAGGAUCCAUCAUUUCACAGAGAAAAUAUGGAGACACAAGUGGAAGGAGAUGGUCUGAGGUCAUACCUGCCUGCCACCUAGUUUUUUCACCCCAGUUCCAGGGGACCUGCCCUCACUUUGGAUGGUUGGAGUUCACACCCACGUAUCUGUUUGGAUUGGGGGGCAAGGGGGAAAGACUGAUACAGGUAAGCCUAGUGAGUACAGGGUCUGUGCAGACAAGGGGCAAGAAAGCAUUUCCAAUUCAGGCCCAACUGAGGAGAAAACUGAAGACCCCUGGCUCACACUGGACAAGGUCUCACUCUGGCCACUACUCCCACUUAAGACACCUCAAAUCUGUGCAGCCAGAAAUCAAUGGUCGACAGCCCCCCUUCCCCCCAAUCUUGCCCACAGAAUCCCUGAGCUGGAGCAUUUGUGAGCGCAGUCCAUCAUUCCUCCUCUACCCUGCAGGUGACUCAACUCUGGCCCUAAGUCCAGGGUGGGAGGGAGUGUUCUUUGCAGAGGUUAAGGCUCCAUAUGUCCUCGGGGCUGACUCAGGUCAUUCAUAUGCUUCACCUACUACUAUCUCCCUCAUAUCUCCCACAUUUCUUAAUACUCCCUCUGAAGCCCCAACACAUCUGGCUUCUCCUUCAGGUCAGUCAGUGCUGGGGUCAGGGUCAGCAAGGGGAAGUGGGCUGCAGGGGGAAACACAAGUCCUGUUGCCGUAA